rnacentral:rRNA from 1 species
ACGGGGGGUGCAAGCGUUGUUCGGAAUCACUGGGCGUAAAGCGCGCGCAGGCGGCUUGGUAAGUCAGAUGUGAAAUCCCUGGGCUUAACCCAGGAACUGCAUCUGAUACUGCCACGCUUGAGUCUGGUAGAGGGGGGUAGAAUUCCAGGUGUAGCGGUGAAAUGCGUAGAGAUCUGGAGGAAUACCGGUGGCGAAGGCGGCCCCCUGGACGAAGACUGACGCUCAGGUGCGAAAGCGUGGGGAGCAAACAG